AGAGUUUGAUCCUGGCUCAGAUUGAACGCUGGCGGCAUGCCUUACACAUGCAAGUCGAACGGUAGCGGGCCUUCGGGUGCCGACGAGUGGCGAACGGGUGAGUAAUGUAUCGGAACGUACCUUUCAGUGGGGGAUAACGUAGCGAAAGUUACGCUAAUACCGCAUAUUCUGUGAGCAGGAAAGCAGGGGAUCGCAAGACCUUGCGCUGAUUGAGCGGCCGAUAUCAGAUUAGCUAGUUGGUGAGGUAAAGGCUCACCAAGGCGACGAUCUGUAGCGGGUCUGAGAGGAUGAUCCGCCACACCGGAACUGAGACAUGGUCCAGACUCCUACGGGAGGCAGCAGUGGGGAAUUUUGGACAAUGGGGGCAACCCUGAUCCAGCCAUGCCGCGUGAGUGAAGAAGGCCUUCGGGUUGUAAAGCUCUUUCGGCCGGGAAGAAAUCGCAUGGGUUAAUACCCUGUGCGGAUGACGUACCGGCAUAA
rnacentral:rRNA from 1 species